GACGAACGCUGGCGGCGUGCUUAACACAUGCAAGUCGAACGGAAAGGCCCUGCUUUUGUGGGGUGCUCGAGUGGCGAACGGGUGAGUAACACGUGAGUAACCUGCCCUUGACUUUGGGAUAACUUCAGGAAACUGGGGCUAAUACCGGAUAGGAGCUCCUGCUGCAUGGUGGGGGUUGGAAAGUUUCGGCGGUUGGGGAUGGACUCGCGGCUUAUCAGCUUGUUGGUGGGGUAGUGGCUUACCAAGGCUUUGACGGGUAGCCGGCCUGAGAGGGUGACCGGGGGAGGUGGGAGUAAGAUACGGCCGAGGGUGCAAGGGGGGGAAGGGGGGGGGGAUGGUGGGAAAUGGGCGGAAGGCUGAUGCAGCAUCGCGGCGGGCGGGAUGGCGGCGUUCGGGUGGUAACCGCAGACGCCUGUGACGACGCGUGAGUGACGGUAAGGGGUAAAGAAGCAACGGCUAACUACGUG
rnacentral:rRNA from 1 species